UCCUAACUUAAUUGGCUGCGCAAUAUUAUCUGCGUUACCGGAAGCACCUUGGCAGAGGUUCGUUUCUCUCGCCAUUAGAUGUCAGUGUUAUCACGAAGAAGAGGACGGAGAGCUGCUACAGGUCCAGUCUUCAUUUGGCCUACGGGUUCCCUUAUCUGGGGCUGACAAAACACCUGGUCACAGCAUCACAGAAGGAAGCUCCAAAGUACAGGCUGCAGUGGCUGCGCCGUCACUGGCUGAGAGUGCGGACAGACUCUCUUAUUUGGUGGCACCAGCUGCCGCACCGCUGGCGAGGGAGAGGGAGGGAGAGAGAGAGGGCUGUGGUGGGGAGACCUGAGCUGGAACCCUCAGCCCUGCAGUGGGAUGUGUGGCCCACGCUGGCUGCCGAUAAGACCGCGCGCUGUCCCCGGUGUGGCCUGGCGUCUCCCUUCGGUGGCAGUGUGUGUGUGUGUGUGUGUGUGUGUGUGU